GAUGAACGCUGGCGGCGUGCCUCAAACAUGCAAGUCGAGCGGGGCUAUGUAAUAUCGCAAGGUAGAACAUAGCCUAGCGGCGAACGGGUGAGUAACACGUGGGUAACCUGCCUGGAAGACAGGGAUAACGAUUCGAAAGGGUCGCUAGUACCUGAUAAUAUCCUUUCAUCGCAUGGUGAUAGGAAGAAAGGGGAAACCCGCUUUCAGAUGGGCCCGCGUCCCAUCAGCUAGUUGGUAAGGUAAAGGCUUACCAAGGCGACGACGGGUAGCCGGUCUGAGAGGAUGUACGGCCACACUGGGACUGAGAUACGGCCCAGACUCCUACGGGAGGCAGCAGUUGGGAAUCUUAGGCAAUGGACGAAAGUCUGACCUAGCGACGCCGCGUGAGGGAAGAAGGCCUUCGGGUUGUAAACCUCUGUCAUGGGGGAAGAAGUAAGUGACGGUACCCCAAGAGGAAGCCCCUGCUAACUACGUG
rnacentral:rRNA from 1 species